AUCCGGCUGACAAGUCCCGAAUAGGACGAAAUGCGCAUCUUGGAU
rnacentral:hammerhead_ribozyme from 1 species